rnacentral:rRNA from 1 species
UACGUAGGGUGCAAGCGUUGUCCGGAAUUAUUGAGCGUAAAGGGCUCGUAGGCGGUCCGUCACGUCGGGAGUGAAAACUUGGGGCUUAACCCCAAGCCUGCUUCCGAUACGGGCGGACUAGAGGUAGGCAGGGGAGAACGGAAUUCCUGGUGUAGCGGUGAAAUGCGCAGAUAUCAGGAGGAACACCGGUGGCGAAGGCGGUUCUCUGGGCCUUACCUGACGCUGGAGGAGCGAAAGCGUGGGGAGCAAACAGG